rnacentral:misc_RNA from 1 species
AAAUGCGAUAAGUAAUGUGAAUUGCAGAAUUCAGUGAAUCAUCGAAUCUUUGAACGCACCUUGCGCUCCUUGGUAUUCCUUGGAGCAUGCCUGUUUGAGUAUCAUGAAAUCUUCAAAGUAAAUCUUUUGUUAACUCAAUUGGUUUCUACUUUGGUAUUGGAGGUCUUUGCAGCUUCACACCUGCUCCUCUUUGUUCAUUAGCUGGAUCUCAGUGUUAUGCUUGGUUCCACUCGGCGUGAUAAGUUAUCUAUCGCUGAGGACACUGUAAAAGGUGGCCAAGGUAAAUGCAGAUGAACCGCUUCUAAUAGUCCAUUGACUUGGACAAUACUUUUAUGAUCUGAUCUCAAAUCAGGUAGGACUACCCGCUGAACUUAAGCA